rnacentral:rRNA from 1 species
UACGUAGGGCGCAAGCGUUUAUCCGGAAUUAUUGGGCGUAAAGAGCUCGUAGGCGGUGUGUCGCGUCGGCCGUGAAAACCUGCAGCUUAACUGUGGGCUUGCGGUCGAUACGGGCAUCACUGGAGUUCGGCAGGGGAGACUGGAAUUCCUGGUGUAGCGGUGAAAUGCGCAGAUAUCAGGAGGAACACCGGUGGCGAAGGCGGGUCUCUGGGCCGAUACUGACGUGAGGAGCGAAAGCGUGGGGAGCGAACAGG